rnacentral:lncRNA from 1 species
UUCUUGUUCUGCUGAAAGAACCAUUUCUGUGCACAUCUUUGAAUAGCAAAUAACACUUGCUGGAAGAUUUCAAAAAGAGGGGACAAUCCUUUUCCUUGCCGUGCUCCCGGUGUUAAAGAAGGCCUACAUUUCUCUUCUCCAAGGCAGUUUAUGAGUCAUCCCAUCCAGAGGAACCAGAUUGCUAAACUACAAAGAUAAGACCGGCCAAACCUUAAGACGUAAGCUCCAAAUUGUCUUGGUUGAUACAUAAAGACAAUGGAUGCCAUAUUCCAAAGUAAAACCACCACACGGGACUUACAAAAAGGAGGAGGAAGAAAACCAGUCUUGCAACACUUAGCUGACCAUCCACCUCCAGCUAUAAAAAUGUUUGGAGAAAUUAAAAAGACAAUGAAGACAGUUUUUGGAAUGGAAAGUUGGCGUGUCAAGGGAAAGAAAUGGUGCCUGCCCUUUGCCCUCAAACCCACCGUGGAGGGCUUCAGGGAGACCACAAUUGGAGGCCACAGUGGACCAGCGUAAGUCGCCCAUCUGAGGAAUCCGAAGCCCAGCAUUCGGACUUGCCAGGAGCUGAUGACAGAGGAGUCAAAGGAAAGGAGGCUGCAUGGUCUGUAAUCUCAGAGUUUGUGAGGGCACAGAAGGGUGUUUCCUUGAAUGAGCAGUGGGCCAGGAGAGAGAGAGAGAAAGGGAGCAUCACAGAGCCAACCAGCAUUGGAUUGUGUCCCAUCCCAUCUGAGAGGGCGACCAGGCGAGGUAAAUAAACCUCAGCAGAGAGAAGCUGAAGGUACCACUGUACGUCCAGGGGCUCAGCAAGGCCUAGCAACAAGCUAAAAAGAACACAUCACCCACACCACGGGAACUGCGGGCAAGAGGCCCCAGGGACUGGAGGUGGGAUUAGGGGGCACGGGGAGGAUAGGGAAAAAGUAUACAAAGAACCUAUGAAAGAGAGAGUCAGCUUAAACACCUGCCUUGCCCAGAGAGUACCACUCCCACUCACGACAGUUCUGACCAGGGAAGAACUUUCUUGUUCCCCUUUCUCUUCCAGACACGCCAACCCUGAGGGUUCAGAAACUACGGUUAGCACAAUGGCUGAAGGAGAAAGAGAAGCUUUAAGCGAGGAACGAGAGGAAGCCAGCACACCCUUCUCUAACUGAAUGUUUCCCCUCUCUGUCAGGCCUAAGCUGGGGAGGGAGAGACGCCUCAAUGUUAAAUCAAGUUCAACAUUUU